UGAACGCUGGCGGCGUGCCUAACACAUGCAAGUCGUACGAGAAAUCUUUUGUUCGCAGAAGAGAGUAAAGUGGCGCACGGGUGAGUAACGCGUGGACAAUCUGCCUCUGAAUCGGGGAUAACGUUACGAAAGUGACGCUAAUACCGGAUAAUAUCUAGAAUGCUUCGGUUUUUUAGAUCAAAGGGGGCCACUACAUGUAAGCUUCUGUUUAGAGAUGAGUCCGCGUGCCAUUAGCUUGUUGGUAGGGUAACGGCCUACCAAGGCUGCGAUGGCUAGCUGGUCUGAGAGGAUGAUCAGCCACACUGGAACUGAGACACGGUCCAGACUCCUACGGGAGGCAGCAGUGAGGAAUCUUGCGCAAUGGGGGAAACCCUGACGCAGCAACGCCGCGUGAGUGAAGAAGGCUUUCGGGUCGUAAAGCUCUGUCAAGUGGGAAGAACCUGUCCUAUGUUAAUACCAUGGGGCACUGACGGUACCAUUGAAGGAAGCACCGGCUAACUCC
rnacentral:rRNA from 1 species